AAAAACAUCGCCUCUUGCACCUAAAAUAUAAGAGGUCCUGCCUGCCCUGUGACUUUAAGUUUAACGGCCGCGGUAUUUUAACCAGUGCGAAGGUAGCGCAAUCACUUGUCUCUUAAAUAGAGACCUGUAUGAAUGGCAUAACGAGGGCUAAACUGUCUCCUCUUCCCAGUCAAUGAAAUUGAUAUACCCGUGCAGAAGCGGGAAUAAAACCGUAAGACGAGAAGACCCUAUGGAGCUUUUAGAUAAAGGAUAGAUUAUGCUAAACAACCCCAACAAGAGAUUAAGCCAAAUAAUACCUAUCCCCAUCUUUGGUUGGGGCGACCGCGGGGAAAUAACUAACCCCCACGUGGAAUAUGUGCAAUCCACUUUAAAGCCAGAGCCACAGCUCUAACAAACAGAAUGUUUGACCAUAUAAGAUCCGGCACUGCCGAUCAACGGACCGAGUUACCCUAGGGAUAACAGCGCAAUCCCCUUAUAGAGCCCAUAUCGACAAGGGGGUUUACGACCUCGAUGUUGGAUCAGGACAUCCUAAUGGUGCAACCGCUAUUAAGGGUUCGUUUGUUCAACGAUUAAAGUCCUACGUGAUCU
rnacentral:rRNA from 1 species